rnacentral:rRNA from 1 species
GACGAACGCUGGCGGCGUGCUUAACACAUGCCAGUCGAACGAUGAAGCCUAGCUUGCUAGGUGGAUUAGUGGCGAACGGGUGAGUAAUACGUGAGUAGCCUACCUUUAACUCUGGGAUAAGCCCGGGAAACUGGGUCUAAUACCGGAUACGACCAAUCUCCGCAUGGGGUGUUGGUGGAAAGCGUUAUGUAGUGGUUAUAGAUGGGCUCACGGCCUAUCAGCUUGUUGGUGAGGUAACGGCUCACCAAGGCGACGACGGGUAGCCGGCCUGAGAGGGUGACCGGCCACACUGGGACUGAGACACGGCCCAGACUCCUACGGGAGGCAGCAGUGGGGAAUAUUGCACAAUGGGCGCAAGCCUGAUGCAGCGACGCCGCGUGAGGGAUGACGGCCUUCGGGUUGUAAACCUCUGUUAGCAGGGAAGAAGAGAGAUUGACGGUACCUGCAGAGAAAGCGCCGGCUAACUACGUG